rnacentral:lncRNA from 1 species
AGCAUCCCCCUAGCCAACCCUUACACCUGUGGUGCUCCCAACACCUCCUGCGUUCAUCAUUUAUCAUGAAGUAUGGUGCAUUCCUGAAACACUGGACAAAUGCAUCUUCUCCUAGAAGCACAGAGGUACAUUCCAAAGGCAAACUCACUUAAAUUGUGAUCAAAAUACUUCAACUUGCUUGCUAUUGUUGUGGAUAAGUGAUAGUUAACCACAACCGGCUGAGUGGCCAGGUGGUAAGGACGUGGAUGGGGAAGGAGGUUCAGGGUCCUGCAUAAGUCCUCUAGUGUCUGUAGAUCUCAGUGUCCUCCCUUGUGAAAAUGGGGAUAAUAGCUUGUCCAGUGAUCUGUGGCUCCCUCCUGUCCUAAUCCAGGUCCAAGUGGAUUAAUGUUAUCUGAUUCACGUUAGUGUUUCUACAGAUAUGUAAUGUUAUCUGAAUCACAUUAGUGUUUCUACAGCAAAACAGAUGCUUAUUCCCACUAAGUAGGAUAAAUGAAGACUCUAAAUUGCUUCACAUCUGUGCACAUGAGGUUCUGCCACCAUGUGAGUUCAGUCAGGUCAGAUUACUGCCAGAUGAAUUAGAGAAGGCUUGAGGUUCUCAGAGA